UACGUAGGGGGCAAGCGUUGUCCGGAAUUAUUGGGCGUAAAGAGCGUGUAGGCGGUCCGGUAAGUCAGCUGUGAAAGUCAAGGGCUCAACCCUUGAAUGCCGGUUGAUACUGUCGGGCUAGAGUCCGGAAGAGGCGAGUGGAAUUCCCGGUGUAGCGGUGAAAUGCGUAGAUAUCAGGAGGAAUACCGGUGGUGCAGACGGCUCUCUGGACCGCAACUGACGCUGAGACACGAAAGCGUGGGUAGCAAACGGG
rnacentral:rRNA from 1 species